AAAGCUUGACUUAGUUAAAGCUAAGAGGGCCGGUAAAACUCGUGCCAGCAACCGCGGUUAUACGAGAGGCCCAAGUUGAUAGGAAUCGGCGUAAAGGGUGGUUAAGGGUUAUUUCAAAAUAAAGCCGAAGAUUCUCAAUGCUGUUAUACGCUCUCGAGGACUCGAAGCCCCACCACGAAAGUGGCUUUACCCCGCCCCGAACCCACGAAAGCCAGGGUACAAACUGGGAUUAGAUACCCCACUAUGCCUGGCUGUAAACAUUGAUAAGAUAUUACACGCAUUAUCCGCCUGGGAACUACGAGCGCUAGCUUAAAACCCCAAGGACUUGGCGGUGCUUUAGACCCCCCUAGAGGAGCCUGUUUCUAGAACCGAUAAUCCCCGUUCAACCUCACCCUUCCCUGUAAAUUCU
rnacentral:rRNA from 1 species